rnacentral:rRNA from 1 species
AGAGUUUGAUCCUGGCUCAGAACGAACGCUGGCGGCGUGCUUAACACAUGCAAGUCGAGUGCGCGUACUGUAGCAAUACGGUAUGGCGCACGGCGCACGGGUGCGUAACACGUGGGCAAUCUGCCCUUCGAUGGGGAAUAUCUUCGGGAAACCGAAGCGAAUUCCGCAUAACAUUCCUUGGACUUCGGUUCGAGGACUCAAAGCCGUAAGGCGUCGAAGGAGGAGCCCGCGCACGAUUAGCUAGUUGGUAGGGUAACGGCCUACCAAGGCUUUGAUCGUUAGCUGGUCUGAGAGGAUGGCCAGCCACACUGGAACUGAGACACGGUCCAGACUCCUACGGGAGGCAGCAGUGGGGAAUCUUGCACAAUGGGCGAAAGCCUGAUGCAGCGACGCCGCGUGGGGGAUGAAGCAUCUCGGUGUGUAAACCCCUUUCGACCCGGA